UGGGGAAUUUUGGACAAUGGGCGAAGCCUGAUCCAGCCAUGCCGCGUGCAGGGUGAAGGCCUUCGGGUUGUAAACUGCUUUUGUACGGAACGAAAAGACUCUGGUUAAUACCUGGGGUCCAUGACGGUACCGUAAGAAUAAGCACCGGCUAACUACGUGCCAGCAGCCGCGGUAAUACGUAGGGUGCAAGCGUUAAUCGGAAUUACUGGGCGUAAAGCGUGCGCAGGCGGUUAUAUAAGACAGAUGUGAAAUCCCCGGGCUCAACCUGGGAACUGCAUUUGUGACUGUAUAGCUAGAGUACGGCAGAGGGGGAUGGAAUUCCGCGUGUAGCAGUGAAAUGCGUAGAUAUGCGGAGGAACACCGAUGGCGAAGGCAAUCCCCUGGGCCUGUACUGACGCUCAUGCACGAAAAGCGUGGGGAGCAAAACAGGAUUAGAUACCCUGGUAGUCCACGCCCUAAACGAUGUCAACUGGUUGUUGGGUCUUUCACUGACUCAGUAACGAAGCUAAACGCGUGAAGUUGACCGCCUGGGGGAGU
rnacentral:rRNA from 1 species